AGCACAUUGAUAAAAUUGGUGAAUGGUGACAUUUGAAAAUGCCCCAACAAAUAAGCUCCAAAUAGAACCUUCUUCUGCACAUAUACAUACACCAUCACUACAUGCACUCGCCCAUGUAUCUAUAAUUCUGUAUCUAUAUGUAUGUAUAUAUAUAUAUAUAUAAAUCUUCUGCACUCAUCUCGCCUCUGCGCAUUUGAUCCUAUUUCUACCGUUAUUAUUCCGAACCGUUAUCGGAUUGAGAAAAGGAAAACUUUAAUUUGUUGAUUUUUUUUUUUUAAUUUUUUUUUGGGGAAAAAGGAGAACGACUGGGUGAAGAGGCGUUCUAUUGUGUUCGUAUUCGCCGGAAUUUCGCCAUUAAUUUUGGAAAUUCAAAUUCAAGGGUUUUUUUUUUUGAAAUUUUUUUUUACGGUGAAGAGAAAGAGAGAAUGAAAUUGCAGGGGCCGAUUUCUCAUCCAUGCGUGGAUGACGGAAAAAAAGAGGAAGGAAUACAAAGUUCCGAAAUAUCGCCGGCGCCGGUGAGGAUCGUAGUUGGCUAUGCUCUCACUUCGAAGAAGACGAAGAGCUUUUUGCAGCCCAAGCUUAUUCGCUUAGCUCGAAAUAAGGGAAUUGAAUUUGUUGCAAUUGAUCUGAAGAGGCCUUUAUCAGAGCAAGGUCCAUUCAACAUUAUUUUACACAAGCUAGCUGGAAAAGAGUGGUCCGAGGUUAUUGAGGAUUAUCAGAGAACGCACUCAGAGGUGACAGUCCUUGAUCCUCCUAAUGCCAUUCAACAAUUACGUAACCGUCAAUCAAUGCUCGAGGUGGUUGCUGAUCUUAAAUUUCCCGACAACUACGGCAAAGUUUGCAUACCAAAACAGUUAGUGAUUUCUAAAGAUCCCACUUCAGUACCAGACGAAGUUACUAAAGCUGGAUUAAGAGUUCCUCUAGUCGUAAAACCACUGGUUGUGGAUGGAAGUGCAAAGUCUCACGAACUAUUCCUUGCGUACGAUCAGUUUUCACUCUCAGGGCUCGAAGCUCCGAUAAUAUUACAAGAGUUCAUUAAUCAUGGUGGGGUUCUUUUUAAAGUUUUUAUUAUUGGAGAGUCGAUUAAAGUUGUGAGACGUCGCUCUCUGCCUGAUUUGACUAAAAACGAGUUAUCGAAAAUGUCGGGAGUUUUUCACUUCCCUAGGGUUUCUUGUGCUGCAGCUUCUGUAGAUUGUGAUGAUCUAGAUCCUUCUGUUUCUGAACUUCCUCCACAUCAUUUGCUUGAGGUUCUUGCAAGAGAGCUCCAUCAUCGACUGGUACAAAAAUUUGUCGGGACUCCAACUAUUCAAUCUAGAUGUGAUUCGUGAGAAUGGAACCGAAGAUCUGUAUUACGUGAUUGAUAUCAACUAUUUUCCUGGGUAUGGAAAAAUGCCAGAAUAUGAGCAUAUUUUCACAGACUUUCUUCUCAAUCUAAUGCAAAACAAAUUGUAAACAUUGAACUUGUGCUGUCAGGUUGUAACAAGUCUGUUGUUUAGUUGGUGGAUUUUAAUUUUUUAAUUUUUUUU